AGCAGCCGCGGUAAUUCCAGCUCCAAUAGCGUAUAUUAAAGUUGUUGCAGUUAAAAAGCUCGUAGUUGAAUUUCGGGAUCAAUACGUCGGUCGUACCUCGGUACGUACUAACGUCAUUGAUUUCUCCCUUCUGACGAACCAUGAUGCCAUUAAUUUGGUGUUAUGGGAAAUCAGGACUGUUACUUUGAAAAAAUUAGAGUGUUUAAAGCAGGCUCACGCUUGAAUACAUUAGCAUGGAAUAAUGAAAUAGGACGUUCGAUCCUAUUUUGUUGGUUUUUAGGAUCAACGUAAUGAUUAAUAGGGAUAGUUGGGGGCAUUAGUAUUCAAUUGUCAGAGGUGAAAUUCUGGAUUUAUUGAAGACUAACUACUGCGAAAGCAUUUGCCAAGGAUGUUUUCUAUUAAUCAAGAACGAAAGUUAGGGGAUCGAAGACGAUCAGAUACCGUCGUAGUCUUAACCAUAACUAUGCCGACUAGGGAUCGGAUGAUGUUAAUUAUUUAAUGACUCAUUCGGCGCCUUACG
rnacentral:rRNA from 1 species